AAUUUGUGUUAAAUUAUGAGGUUUAAUGAUGAAACAAAUACAUAGAAGAUUAGCAUGGCCCCUGCACAAGGAUGACAAGCACAAAUCGAGAAAUGGUUUAAUUUUUU
rfam:Picea glauca, whole genome shotgun sequence.